AUUGAACGCUGGCGGCAGGCUUAACACAUGCAAGUCGAGCGGGGGAAGGUAGCUUGCUACCGGACCUAGCGGCGGACGGGUGAGUAAUGCUUAGGAAUCUGCCUAUUAGUGGGAACAACAUCUCGAAAGGGAUGCUAAUACCGCAUACGUCCUACGGGAGAAAGCGGGGGAUCUUCGGACCUUGCGCUAAUAGAUGAGCCUAAGUCGGAUUAGCUAGUUGGUGGGGUAAAGGCCUACCAAGGCGACGAUCUGUAGCGGGUCUGAGAGGAUGAUCCGCCACACUGGGACUGGGACACGGCCCAGACUCCUACGGGAGGCAGCAGUGGGGAAUAUUGGACAAUGGGGGGAACCCUGAUCCAGCCAUGCCGCGUGUGUGAAGAAGGCCUUAUGGUUGUAAAGCACUUUAAGCGAGGAGGAGGCUACUCUAGUUAAUACCUAGGGAUAGUGGACGUUACUCGCAGAAUAAGCACCGGCUAACUCUGUGCCAGCAGCCGCCGUAA
rnacentral:rRNA from 1 species